rnacentral:misc_RNA from 1 species
ACUUGAUUUUUCUUUUUUUUUUGGUCCCUUUUCUCUUUCUUUGUUCUCAAUUCUCAUCUUUAAUCAAAUUAAGGAUGACUGAAUUUUCCCAUUUCCUUCUCUAGAUAAUGUCUAUUCCUUUGUGAAGUUUGAAUUCGUAUAUGUUUAAACUAGAGCCCGCCUACUGGGUAUAGCUCAAGCUUUUGAGUGAAUAAGCUAAGUAACAAACUUCAAAAUUGUUUAUAUUUAUUUUCUUUUUGUUGAUGAUUACUUGGUUAGGCGGAGUUUGAAUUUGUAAUCUCACAUUACUCAACUACUGGCUUUUGUACCACUGGGUGUUGUGUGUUUUUCUUUUGUUAUGGUUGUUGUUGUUCUUUCUCAAUUGGUAAUGGUCUUUUUGGUUGCUGAGAAAUUGUUAACACCAACAUCUUGGGAGAAAUUGAAAUGGGCUUAGAUUGAUAUUCAAAUUAAAUGGUUGUAAGCUUGUGAAUCUUAAUUUUCUGUUCUUUUAUCGGCAAUCAAGUGGAGGGUGGUUAGAUUUUCCUUCCGUUUCUCUAUCAAUAUACCGUAAAGCUAGGUUGGCUUGGCAAAUAUUAGAAUUGAGAUUAAUUUCUAUUGUUUCAGCCACAGGUAAAGUAAUGAAUGGAAUAUGGGCUCAAUUUUUUUUCCUUUCUUACUGCUAGAAGUUCUGCUAGGAAACAGAGAAUCUGUGUAUAAUGUGUGUUCAUUUGUGAUCCUUUGUAGGUGGUGAAGGAUGGCUUUGAGGCCAUUGGCCUGGUAUUGUAGACCAGCUGGGAAUGGGGUUUGGGCAAAAGAAGCGGAUAGUGCAUUUGGUGCAUACACCCCCUGCGCCAUUGAUUCUCUCGUGAUCUGCAUUUCUCAUUUAGUUCUUUUGGGCUUGUGUUUUUAUCGAAUAUGGUUGAUUAAGAAGAAUUCAAAAGCUGAAAAGUAUAGCCUGAGGACGAAAUACUACAAUUAUAUGUUGGCGUUAUUGACUGGCCUCUGCACAGCUGAGCCUCUAUUCAGGUUGGUGAUGGGUGUCUCCAUCUUUAACCUGGAAGGACAGAUUAGCCUUGCUCCCUUUGAGAUAGUAUCCCUGAUCAUUGAGGCCUUUGCCUGGUUUUCCAUGCUUCUUAUGGUUGGUUUGGAAACUAAAAUUUAUAUCCGGCAAUUUCGGUGGUAUGUGCGAUUUGGAGUUAUAUAUGUGUUGGUGGGGGAAGCCGCAAUGCUUAAUAUAAUCUUUUCUAUGAGUGAUUACUAUAGCAGAUUUGUAUUGUAUACAUACAUCAGUGCUAUUUUCUGCCAGGUUUUGUUUGGUCUUCUUCUUCUUGUUUAUAUUCCCAAUUUAGAUCCAUAUCCGGGUUACACCAUUCUGCAACCUGAGUCUCCUGAAAAUGGUGAAUAUGAAGCGCUUCCUGGAGCAGAGCAAAUAUGUCCUGAGAGGCAUGUCAACUUAUUUUCCAGAAUAUGUUUUGGAUGGAUAACUCCACUCAUGCAGCAAGGCUACAGAAAACCUAUAACUGAAAAGGAUGUUUGGAAGUUAGACACAUGGGAUCAGGCUGAGACACUGAUUAAAAAGUUCCAGAGAUGUUGGGUUGAAGAAUCUCGAAAGCCAAAGCCGUGGCUUUUAAGAGCAUUGAACAAUAGCCUUGGAAAAAGGUUUUGGUUGGGAGGGUUUUUUAAGAUUGGAAAUGAUCUUUCUCAGUUUGUGGGACCUGUUUUGCUGAACCACCUCUUAAAGUCAAUGCAAAGAGGUGAUCCAGCCUGGAUUGGUUAUGUUUAUGCUUUCUCAAUUUUUCUUGGAGUGUCAAUAGGUGUGCUAUGCGAAUCUCAGUACUUUCAGAAUGUUAUGCGCGUUGGCUUUCGGCUGAGGUCAACUUUGGUGGCUGCCAUAUUUCAUAAAUCCUUGAGACUAACUCAUGAAAGCCGCAAGAAUUUCCCAUCUGGGAAGAUAACAAAUAUGAUCACUACAGAUGCCAAUGCACUUCAGCAAAUAUGCCAACAACUACAUGGAUUAUGGUCGGCCCCAUUUCGCAUCACCAUAUCUAUGGUUCUCCUCUACCAGCAACUAGGUGUUGCUUCACUUCUUGGAUCACUAAUCCUUGUUCUCAUGGUCCCCGUACAGACAAUUGUGAUAAGCAAAAUGAGAAAACUAACUAAAGAAGGACUGCAGAGAACUGACAAGAGAGUCAGCCUCAUGAAUGAAAUCUUAGCUGCCAUGGACACCGUGAAAUGUUAUGCAUGGGAGAAGAGCUUCCAGUCCAAAGUUCAAAGCAUACGCAAUGAUGAGCUGUCAUGGUUCCGCAAUGCGCAAUUACUAUCUGCUCUUAACAGUUUCAUACUGAACAGCAUCCCAGUUGUUGUGACAUUGGUUUCAUUUGGGACAUUCACGUUGCUUGGUGGAGAUUUGACACCUGCAAGGGCUUUCACAUCACUCUCUUUAUUUCAAGUACUACGAUUUCCGCUCAACAUGCUUCCCAACUUGCUAAGUCAGGUUGUAAAUGCAAAUAUAUCAUUACAACGCCUGGAGGAACUAUUUUUAGCUGAGGAGAGAAUUCUAGCACCAAAUCCACCUCUUGAGCCAGGACUUCCAGCCAUCUCAAUCAAGGAUGGAUACUUUUCAUGGGAUUCAAAGGCUGAGAAGCCUACGUUGUCAAAUAUCAAUCUGGAUGUACCAGUUGGGAGCUUAGUUGCAAUUGUUGGUGGGACCGGAGAAGGAAAGACGUCACUCAUAUCAGCAAUGCUUGGGGAGCUGCCUUCUGUGGCAAAUACCAGUGUCGUUAUUAGAGGAACUGUUGCCUAUGUUCCUCAAGUUUCGUGGAUCUUCAAUGCAACUGUGCGUGACAACAUAUUAUUUGGGUCUGAGUAUCAAUCCACAAGAUAUUGGCAAGCUAUUGAUGUAACAGCAUUACAUCAUGAUCUCGACUUACUUCCUGGCCGUGACCUCACAGAGAUAGGUGAAAGAGGUGUCAACAUUAGUGGUGGGCAAAAGCAAAGAGUUUCUAUGGCUAGGGCUGUCUACUCCAAUUCAGAUGUGUACAUAUUCGAUGACCCUUUAAGUGCUCUAGAUGCUUAUGUUGGUCGGCAGGUUUUCAACAGCUGUAUCAAGGAAGCAUUGCGAGGAAAAACUAGAGUUCUUGUUACAAACCAGCUACAUUUUCUUCCACAGGUGGAUAGGAUUAUUCUGGUUAGUGAGGGUACAAUUAAAGAGGAAGGAACCUUUGAGGAACUCUCUAAGGGUGGCAAGCUGUUCCAGAAACUGAUGGAAAAUGCUGGAAAAAUGGAAGAAAUGGAAGAACAAAGAGAAGGAAAAGAGGACAGCAAAAAUCUUGACCAGAAAAAUGCAAAACCAGCAACUGAUGAGCUGAAUGAGUUUUCACAAAAUGUAGGAUACGCAAAGAAAGGGAAAGGAAGGAAGUCUGUGCUUGUCAAGCAAGAAGAAAGGGAAACAGGCAUCGUAAGUUGGAAGGUUUUGAUGAGGUAUAAGAAUUCAUUAGGAGGCACUUGGGUGGUUAUGGUACUGUUUGUAUUCUAUUUAUCAACUGAAGUUCUUCGAGUUUCAAGUAGUACAUGGCUAAGCUUUUGGACAGAUCAAAGCACUUCAGAAGGUUAUAGGCCUGGAUUCUACAUUUUUAUUUAUGCACUUCUAUCACUUGGUCAGGUAACAGUGACACUGGCAAACUCUUAUUGGUUGAUCAGUUCAAGUCUUCGUGCAGCUAAAAGACUGCAUGAUGCCAUGCUAGAUUCAAUCCUACGAGCUCCUAUGCUAUUCUUCCACACUAACCCAACAGGAAGAAUAAUCAAUAGGUUUGCAAAAGAUCUGGGUGAAAUAGAUCGCAAUGUUGCCAAUUUUGCAAAUAUGUUUCUGAACCAAGUCUGGCAGCUGCUUUCAACAUUCGUGCUGAUUGGCAUCGUGAGCACAAUAUCCCUGUGGGCCAUAAUGCCACUUCUCAUCUUAUUUUAUGCAGCCUAUCUAUACUAUCAGACUACAUCCCGUGAAGUAAAACGUUUGGAUUCCAUCACCAGAUCUCCAGUUUAUGCACAAUUUGGAGAAGCCUUAAAUGGCUUAUCAAGUAUCCGUGCAUACAAAGCAUAUGACCGAAUGGCCAACAUCAGUGGGAAGUCUAUGGACAAUAACAUCAGAUUCACCCUUGUGAAUAUUAGUUCAAAUCGUUGGCUCACCAUAAGAUUGGAAUCAUUAGGAGGGAUAAUGAUUUGGUUGACUGCAACCUUUGCAGUAUUGCAGAAUAGCAGAACAGAUAACCGGGUGGCAUUUGCAUCUACUAUGGGUCUACUUCUCAGUUAUACUCUGAAUAUUACCAAUCUAUUGAGUGGUGUUCUUAGACAAGCAAGUCGAGCAGAAAAUAGUUUCAAUUCUGUUGAGCGUGUUGGCACUUAUAUAGACUUGCCUUCUGAAGCUCCAGCUAUAAUUGAGAGUAAUCGUCCUCCAUCAGCAUGGCCUGCUUCAGGAUCAAUUCAGUUUAGGGAUGUUGCCUUGCGUUAUAGACCUGAACUUCCUCCAGUCUUGCAUGGAUUGUCCUUCUCAGUUUCACCAAGUGAGAAGCUAGGAAUAGUGGGGAGAACUGGAGCAGGGAAAUCUAGCAUGCUUAAUGCAUUGUUCCGGGUUGUAGAACUGGAAAGAGGAGAAAUUGUCAUUGAUGGAUGUGAUGUUUCUAAGUUUGGACUGACAGAUUUGAGAAAAGCUCUUGGUAUCAUACCACAAUCUCCAGUUCUUUUUUCAGGAACUGUAAGGUUUAAUCUUGAUCCAUUUGGUGAACACAAUGAUGCGGACCUGUGGGAGGCUUUAGAGAGGGCACAUCUAAAGGAGGUCAUCAGGAAGAAUUCUUUUGGUCUAGAUGUUGAGGUUUAUGAGGGCGGGGAGAAUUUCAGUGUUGGACAG